GUACUGUAAAGGAUAAAAGCUUGUAAUAAAGAAUAUAUAAACUAUACUACCUUUUGUAUCAGGGUUUAUUUAUAUAUAAUUUUAUUUUAUAAUUUCGAAAUUAUUUGAACUAUAAAAAUAUAAGUUUAUUUGUAUCAAAAAAUAGAUAUAUAUUUUCAUAGUAAUGAAAAUUUUUCCGCAAAUAAUAAUAUCUAAUUAAAAAUGAAAUAAAUAAUUAUCUCUUUAUAAAGGAGAAUCUUAAUUGGGUAAGCUAAUUAAGUAAAAAUAAAAUUUGAAAAGAAAGAAAAUCUAGGCUUUAAAUUAGCCAUGUUUAUAAUUUUUAUUAAAUAAUUAUUCUAUACAUUAAAAUUAUUUAGAUUUAAUUUUUAAAUUAUUAGAGUAAUUAAUUUAAUAAUAAUAUGAUUAAAUCAGUAUUUUUGUUUGUUAAUUUAUAUGAACUAAAUAAUAUCUUGACUGUUUAACAAAAACAUUUCUUUCUGAAAAAUAGAAAGUAAGACCUGCCCAGUGAAAAUUUAACGGCUGCGGUAUUUUGACCGUGCUAAGGUAGCAUAAUAAAUUGUUUUUUAAUUGAAAACUGGAAUGAAAGGUUACACGAAUUAUUACUAUAUAAAAUCUAAUUUAUGAACUUUUAUUAUAAGUAAAAAUACUUAUAUAUUGUAAAGGGACGAUAAGACCCUAGAAGCUUCAAUUCUUACUAUAUAAAACAAUUAUAUUUAACUCUUAUAUUUAUAACAAUUUUGGUUGGGGAAACAAAAAUUUUAAAAAUAAUUUUGGUUUAUAAUAACACCAUUAUCUUAGAUCUUUUAAAUAAAAACAAACAGUAAAAGUUACUCUAGGGAUAACAGCGUAAUAAUUUUGGUUAGACCUUAUAUAUAAAAUUGAUUACGACCUCGAUGUUGAAUUAAAAUAUCUUUAUAAAGUAGAAGUUAUAAAAGAAGGUUUGUUCAACCUUUAAUUUUUUACAUGAUUUGAGUUCAGACCGGUUUAAGCCAGGUCGGUUUCUAUCUUUUACUACACUAAAAUUUUUUUAGUACGAAAGGACCAAAAUAUUUUAAUACUU
rnacentral:rRNA from 1 species